rnacentral:lncRNA from 1 species
GGUCCUCUCUGGCUGCGUCUGAGGGCCUUAGCUCUGGCCAGGGGCGCUGCAACGGGCUCAGCCUUCUAGGGGUGGCGGGUGAAGGCCUACACCUGCCCCAGGACGGCCAGGUCCACCAGCACCUGCAACAGACGGAGAACUGAAGGAGCAUCUUGAAGCUGUGGCUGUCUUGAAGGUGUCGCCGCUUGUCCUCACGAGCACCAUUUUGAUUCUCGUGCCCUGUGUGCAUGGGUGGCCAGCGUUGCUGGUAGGGCUCCUGCACGCUCAGAGUGGCCUUGGCCAGGAAGUCCAGGGUUUCCGCAGGCAGAGUGUAUGAACAAGGUACUGAGAAGAUCACAUACUGCAUGUCCUCCUAAAACCUGGUCCUGGCAUAACCUUCUAAGCUGUUUUAUUCAGAUUACAAUAAAUCAUGCCAUUCACACAAGUUCUUACAGGGAUUUAAUUGCAUCUUUGAAAGGUUUGGCAGAUACAUCAAGCCAGUUCAUUAAUGCACAGAUGAUUCCUUCACAUUAAGAAAGACACGUUGGAGCACCAUAAAUGUCAAGGCAGUUAUUACACACAAAAAGCAUAAAAUGGCAACCAUCAAAAGAUUCAUAGCCAAAAGGGACUUGCCUUAUCUCAGUUGAGGCUUUGGACUUGGAACUUUGAGAAUAACCAGCAAUGUUCCAGAAAUUAUCUGCUCUCUCGCCCUGGUCUCAACUUGCAGAAGAUGGGAAGCAGAGCUCCCAGCCUGCCCAAGAUGAACAUGUGGUAUAGACAAGAAAUACACCUCUGUUCUUUUAAGCUUCUGAGAUUUUGUAUAUGUUUGUUUCUUACCAAACCACAUAUCCAAAGUUACUAAUUGAUGUAAUUUGUAUUUGGAAAGAAACUCAUUUACAACUAUUUUUAUUCUAAAUGAUUUCUAAAAUGUCCACUUUAUUAAUUUUGAUAUAUCCAACAUAUAAUCUAGAUACCAAGUUUGAAUCAUUUUUAUUUUGUCAAAUAACACAUAUAUUUUAUAAAUUGCAUACAAAAA